GAUGAACGCUGGCGGCGUGCUUAACACAUGCAAGUCGAACGAUGAAGCCCAGCUUGCUGGGUGGAUUAGUGGCGAACGGGUGAGUAACACGUGAGUAACCUGCCCUUAACUCUGGGAUAAGCCUGGGAAACUGGGUCUAAUACCGGAUAGGAGCGUCCACCGCAUGGUGGGUGUUGGAAAGAUUUAUCGGUUUUGGAUGGACUCGCGGCCUAUCAGCUUGUUGGUGAGGUAAUGGCUCACCAAGGCGACGACGGGUAGCCGGCCUGAGAGGGUGACCGGCCACACUGGGACUGAGACACGGCCCAGACUCCUACGGGAGGCAGCAGUGGGGAAUAUUGCACAAUGGGCGCAAGCCUGAUGCAGCGACGCCGCGUGAGGGAUGACGGCCUUCGGGUUGUAAACCUCUUUCAGUAGGGAAGAAGCGAAGUGACGGUACCUGCAGAAGAAGCACCGGCUAACUACGUG
rnacentral:rRNA from 1 species